UUUAUCAUCCAAAUGUCAGUAACAGUGCAGAAUAUUUUAAUUCUGAAGCUAGGCACUACUAAUGGAGAUGAAAAUACCCACGCAAUGUUGCCAGAAUAUUGGAUGAAAAGUCACAGCAUAAAAAAACUAUUUAAAAUGAUAUCGAGUUAUGUUGAGCUGCCAAUCAAAAAUCUCUACUAUUGAAGAAGAAUUGAACGUCAUGACGGUUCGACCUUCUCGGGCUACUCCCCCGCCUCGAUCGAUAUCCCCGCCUCGCUGGAAAAAAAAUCGCAGGAAAUAGAACCCCACGUUCCAUGGUAGCGAAAAAACCGAGAUAACCCACACGUUCUCCACCUUCUCCCCGACCUGUCCAUCUCAUCUCCGGAUCUCUUUGGCACAAACCCGAACAAUCCGGCUCUCUCCUCUCCUCGCGACCGCGCGGCACCCUCCCUCUCUAGGUUGGCCAUAGCCCGAGCCCCCGGGCGACGACCGUCCGAGCCACUCUACCGUCAUGGAUUGAAGGAGGAAGCGGCGGGGGGCGGUGCGGAUCCCAUCUUACCCUCCACCGUCACGUAUGGAAGGAGGCCAUGGCAACCAGCUGUGCGAAGCCAAUCCUCCGCCUGGCAGUUAUGUGCGGCUCCCUCCGCCAGAGCUUCUCUCUACACAUGUACGUUGUCUCGUCGGUCUCUUCAUCCCUUCGGUCGGCACGCACCGGCGCUGCUGACCCGUGGUUGACCAGCAGCGGAGGCGUGUGUCAGGAGUCUCUAGCCGCUGCAUGCUACAUUAUCAGGUUUGAUCUUCUGUUAAAUCUUGAUCCCUUCAGUUUCCGUUUGGAACAUUCCAUUCUUGUUAGUGAUCAUCAGGGAUCCCAUCAGCCCUCAUAUCAGGACAGAUAUAUGGGAUUUUUCAUCCGUGUGUGGUUCAAUUGGAAUAUUAUUAGGCCUCUGAUAAAUUGCCAAAAGGUGACCGCCGAAUACCAUCCCCUCACCGAUCAGGCCUAGAAGAUGGUGAAACUCUCACAAGGUGAACACCAUGGGGUAAAGCUAGCUUAUAAUUUAGCGGCGGCGUGGUGUCAUCAUGGUCGGAGGAGGCAACUCAUAUGGGGAUGCCAAGGAGAUCAAUCAGAAUUCUAUCGCUGUUGUUGCACCAAAAUAUCUUUACAGCUGCUAUUUUUUUUAAAUAUCCCAAAUACAGAUUAUUUUGUCAAUGCAACAACAUGAUCAAUCUCAAGGGCAAUGCAUUACUCAUGGUAUACUUAAUAAUUAAGUGGAGUUCCAAAAGCGACGGUGAUGGUUGUGCCACCACCAACAGCAGAGAAGAAAGAGGCGUGGCAGUGGUGGUGCAGAAAGAGCGAUAGAGAAGUGGGAGGAAAGUAAGUAGCGGCAUUGGUGUAAGGACUAAGGAAGAAGGGGAGAGCAUGGUGAGCAAGAUGAGGUUCUGGAGAAAUGCGACAGGGUAGUCGUUCCCUAAGCCUAUCGGCAUGACCCAAUUCACUCCAAUUUUUUUGCAGGUUCAGUUUUGUUAGCAUUGGUAAAUAUAUUCAUCAUUACAGGGUGGAAGUUAUCUGUACUUUUGUUUUGUACAUUUUUACAGCUAUACCUUGGUGGAAGUGAGCCAGGCCCUUGAAAAAAUCUCACGGUAGUCACUUCGUUCAGUAAUAUUUUUGCAUGUACAGCAUGUAGGUUUCAUUCACAUCUAGCAAAAGACUCUCCAGACAACGGAGGUUUGCUUUGUAGACUUUAUUUUCUAAUACAGUCAAACUUCAGCAUAUAUGUACUUUUUUUUUAUAAUCAACACACACGUUCAAUUGAACAUACUACCCGCAGAAAAGUAGUCAGGCAAACAUGCUUGCAUUUCCUUAGAUGGUAUAUAGGUCCGAAUUAAUGAUUGUAGGUGUUGACAUACUAUGUACAAUGUAAGAGAACGACAUGGAUGAUAUAUUAUUAGAGAAAAAAAAUGAAAGAAUUAGGGUGGACGUUAAUUUGCUGGAAGUGAGUACUCCACUACAAUGCUUGUAAUAGCUUUAUAGUUCUAUAUAUGAUGCAAACCUAUGUGUUCAGGAGCCGUUUUUGCUACGGAACUCUGAAGCAUGUGGUUGAAGUAAACACUGGACGGAGAAAGACUUCGCAUAUUCAGCAGCAGACUCAAAGCUGCUGGUGCGAAAACAGAAUUUGCACCGUACAACAGGCAAAGCCUCACUACAGAGUUCUGCCUAGGGAUACGCUUUUUGCAAAGGUAAUUGAGAUUUUUUUGAAUGAUGAUAAUAAAGAUUUAUACUUUUAAUACAUGUUCCAGCUAUAGGAGGAUGCCAAGGAGAUCAAUCAGAUUUCUUUACACAUUAAGACAUCGUCAUCUUUUAUUGCUACUGUUGCAGCACAAUAGCUUUAGUGUCGCUAUUUUUCAGAAAAAUAUCCCAAUUUACACAUUGUUUUGUCAAUUUUAAUUUUCAAACGGAGGUUUGUUUGGUAGACAUUACUUUCUAGAUAUAGUUAAACUUUAACAGAUAUAUACAUUGAGCAGAGUCAACUGAACAUGCUACCGGCAGAAAGUGUCAAUUAAAACAUGAUGUAUUUUCUUAGUUCUUAGAUGGUAUGUAGGUCCUGGACUAAUAAUUGUAGGUGUUGACAUACUAUUUCUAUUGUAAGAGAACUAUGUGGAUGAUGCAUCAUUAGAAAAGAUUGACAGAAUUAGGAUGGUUGUUAUUCUGAUGGACGUGAUUACUCCACUACAAUGCUUCUAAUAGCUUUAUAGUUUUAUGAUGCAAACCUAUGUGUUCGGGAGCCUUUUUUUCUACGGAAAUCUGAAGCAUGUGGUUGAAGUAAAUACCAUACGGAGAAAGAGUUUGCAUAUUCAGCAGCAGAGCAGUGCAGGCUGCUGGACAAGAUAGGAAGAUCUCCCGAGUACACGGUCGAGAGGAAGCUCGGCAAAGGGGGGCCCGACCAUGUUUUCGUCAGCCGGCAUUUAGCUGGUGCAACAGGAUGGUCCACAUGUGAGAGUGCUCAACAGCGAUUUUUUCUAAGAAGCAACAAGAACCUACAAUUCAUUGGAGUUGGAUAAAGAGUGCAUAUGUAACAAAAGCAGCUGCGAGCCCGAGGCAGAGACGAGGAAGGACAGAGAUGUACCAUCGUCAUGCUUUAUCUUCUUCAGGGUUGGGAGGGAGAAAGGGAAGUGGUGAUUUCCGGAGAGGGAGCAAGCGGGAGAACUGUAGUUUUUCAACGAAUGUUGAAAACUGAAUGAACGCCUGCUGGAUAAAUUACAUGAUCUGGAAACUUGACGCUGUGUUGUUGCAUAUAAAUAAUUUAUCAUCCAGUAUUCACCAGUCUCGCUGUGUUGUUCAAAUCCCCUUCAGUGAUGACAAAGCAUGCCGGCAACUUUGAGUAUAUGUUUCUUAUAUAUCAUUGUCAGAUUGUAAGAUGUUGACGUGUUGUCCAUCUUUCAUUUUCAAUGUCUCCAACACAGUAUGGUUUUGAAGUUUC